rnacentral:misc_RNA from 1 species
CAGCCGCAGCAGCACCGCUACACGACCACCAUCAGCACCGACUUGAGGCAUACAGACCCCACAGCGAUUCACAGUGGCACUCGUCCAGCACCGACGCCUACUCGCUCACCCAUAAACCCAUACCGACCCCACAAGUACCGACGCAACGCACAUCAGCACAGACACGCACACGCAUCGAAAGCUCCUUACGAGGGUACACGACGAGAAGAACAUAAACUUUACCACACUCAUAUACAGACGUCAAACACUUCUAUUCACGGAGGCUUACACACACACACACACACACACACCUCGAGAGCGGCAACGCUACGCAACUCAUCGUCAUCAUCGCCUGCGCAGCAAAACUGACGCCUCCCUCCCUCCCUCGCUUCUCCAAUUCCACUCUAUCUCCCACCCGCCUUCUCUUGCUGUUCUUCACUACCGCUGCAAAGAGCCGACAGAAAGCCGCUCGUCCGCACACACAAACAACGAAGAACUUACACGGGUGCCUUCGCUCUGUUCGCGUGAACACGCUUUCGCCUCGCCUCCUUCCCUCUCUUUUCCCAUCCCUUUCACAACCAUACAGCUGUCACGAUGCAGCAGCCGGGCAGCCACCAGAUCCAGCCCAUCGACUCCCUCACACCGUUUCUCGGUGGCAAGUGGUGGAUUCGGGCCCGUGUGACAGACAAGACGGACAUCCGUACCUGGAACAAGCCGACGUCGCAGGGAAAGCUCUUCUCCUUCACCCUCAUUGACGAGUCUGCCGCGAUUCGGGCAACGGUCUUCAACGACGCCGUCGACACCUUCGAGCCGCUCAUCGUCAAUGGACAGGUAUACUAUUUCAGCGGUGGCCAGGUGAAGAAUGCGAACCGGCGUUUCAGCAACGUGAACAAUGACUACGAGCUCACGUUUGACCGCAGCUCGGAGAUUAUGCUGGCGCGGCAGGACACAUCAACAGCGGCGCUGCCGAUGCAGCGCUACAACUUUGUGCCGAUCGAGCUUCUGAAGCAGCGCGAGGUCGGUUCGCUCGUCGACGUGCUUGGCGUCGUGCUCAAGGUGGACGAAGUGUCGUCCAUCACGCAGAAGUCGACGGGCCGUGAGCUGGUGAAGCGAAACGUCAAGAUGGGCGACAUGACGGCGGCUGUGGAGGUCACCUUCUGGAACGAUGAGGCAAAGGCGUGGUGCUACCCAGUCGGCACCGUUGUGGCGCUGCGGCAGCUGAAGGUUGGCAGUUUCGACGGUGUGACCCUCUCAUCCACUUAUCAGACCAAGAUCGACAUCAACCCCACAGACCUGCCGGACGUCAAGAAGCUCGCGACGUGGUAUGUGACGACUGGCGGCGCUAACGUGACGUCUUUGUCGUCGCAGGGGCUUGGCGCCGCGAGCGGGGCCGGUGGCGAGAGCGACCGCGGCCGCAAGUACCUGGACGAGAUCCAGUCGGAGGGGAUCGGACGGGGCCUGAAGCCCGAGUACGUCGACGUCCGGUGCGUUCCGAUUUACUUCAAGCAGGAUGCCCAGUGGUACGACGCGUGCCCGACCUGCAACAAGAAGGUGACCGAGGAGGGCGCGCAGGGUGACCGCUUUCGCUGCGAAAAGUGCGACAAGACCGUCACGCCGACGCAGCGCUACCUCGUUUCCAUCCAGGUCACGGACAACGUCUCUCAGGCGUGGCUAACGCUCUUCAACGAAGCCGGCAUCGAGUUCUUUGGGAUGGAGGCGGCAGAACUGAAGCGUCGUGCGCAGGAGGACCCUCUCUACAUCGCGAAGCUGGCGCAGGGCCGCAUGAACCGACCAGUGGUGAUGCGUCUGCGCGUGAAGGAGGAGACGAGCUCGAACGCCAUGACCGGCGAGGAGUCAGACCGGCUGCGCAUGUCAGUGGUGCGCAUCUCCGAGUUUAUGCCGAUUGCGGGCACCUCCGAGGAGACGCGCCGCCGCCUCGCGCAGAACCUGCGCACAGAGUGCGAUGAAAUUCUCCGCCUCAUCGAGGCUUACGUCUGAGCACUGCCAAGAGACUAAGCAGGUCUCGCACGCACGCACAAAAUGCAUACAGAACUACAUGCGUCUAUGCGCUGCACUUGCAUCGAGUGCUGACAUGCACUACUCGCAGAGACGGCCACCUCAUAGAACGAGAAUGCCUCUGGUCGUGUCGGCCCGUGCCCGUCAUCGUGUGUGUGUGUGUGUGUACAUGCGCGCACCCACACCCACGCACGACGCGCAACACACAGACACGCCGACAGGAAGCCACUCCCGGAAUGGUGUGGUCUCCAUCCGCAGCUUUGCUGGGACGCCGUUGUUGCUCCCUCGCUUGGCACGGGAGCUGAUGUGCGAUGCCUCUCUCCUUUCGUUGCCGUUGUUGUGUUGUCGUGCUGAUGGGCGUAAGCACGCACGCGCACACCCAUGCGAACACCGGCACGGGGCUCAUGUCGACCCUCCUCUCCCUUUCUCUUCCCUCUUCCCAGCGUACUUUUUGUGUGCGUGCGCGUGUGUGUGCGUGCCCACGCGUGCAGCCUUGGUUGGCGCGUGAAAGGGACAGACGCAACGUUUAGUUGUUUGCCUUUAUUCCGUGUGCUUACUUCUGGCGCCCAUGCGCCUUCCGCCGUUGAUGCCGGCUGUCCAUGUUGGCUCAGUGGGGCGGUGGUGAGUGGUGAUGUUGCUGGUUCGAUGGAAAGCAAAGCAAG